rnacentral:rRNA from 1 species
CACGGAGUUAGCCGGUGCUUCUUCUGCGAGUAACGUCAAUGCAAUGUGCUAUUAACACACUACCCUUCCUCCUCGCUGAAAGUGCUUUACAACCCGAAGGCCUUCUUCACACACGCGGCAUGGCUGCAUCAGGCUUGCGCCCAUUGUGCAAUAUUCCCCACUGCUGCCUCCCGUAGGAGUCUGGACCGCGUCUCAGUUCCAGUGUGGCUGGUCAUCCUCUCAGACCAGCUAGGGAUCGUUGCCUAGGUGAGCCACUUACCCCACCUACUAGCUAAUCCCAUCUGGGCACAUCUGAUGGCGUGAGGCCCGAACGGUCCCCCACGUUUCGGACCGAAGACGUUAUGCGGUAUUAGCUACCGUUUCAGUUACGUUACUCCCCCUCAUCAGGCACGUUUCCCAGUCAUUACUCCACCGUCCGCCGCUCCGUCCACC